UGCAAGUCGAACGGGAACUCUAGACUGAAGGUUCGCUGGAUGUUUAGAAAUUCUAGUGGCGGACGGGUGAGUAACGACGUGGGUAACCUGCCUAUAAGACGUGAACAACAGUUAGAAAUGACUGCUAAUACACGAUAAGCACACCAGUAUCGCAUGAUACAGUGUGAAAAGAAUUUCGCUUAUAGAUGGACCCGCGUCUGAUUAGCCAGUUGGUGGGGUAACGGCCUACCAAAGCAACGAUCAAUAGCCGGCCUGAGAGGGCGACCGGCCACAUUGGGACUGAGACACGGCCCAAACUCCUACGGGAGGCAGCAGUGGGGAAUAUUGGACAAUGGGGGCAACCCUGAUCCAAGCAACGCCGCGUGAGUGAUGAAGUAUCUUGGUAUGUAAAGCUCUAUCAGUAGGAACGAAAAUGACGGUACCUAACUAAGAAGCCCCGGCUAACUAACGUGCCAGCAGCAGC
rnacentral:rRNA from 1 species